rnacentral:rRNA from 1 species
UACGUAGGUGGCAAGCGUUGUCCGGAAUUACUGGGCGUAAAGAGCGCGCAGGCGGCUGGUCAAGUCCGAUGUGAAAGCUCCCGGCUUAACUGGGAAAUUGCAUCGGAAACUGAUCGGCUUGAAGGUGGGAGAGGGUAGUGGAAUUCCUGGUGUAGCGGUGGAAUGCGCAGAUAUCAGGAGGAACACCAAUGGCGAAGGCAGAUCUCUGGGCCGUAACUGACGCUGAGGAGCGAAAGCAUGGGGAGCGAACAGG